AUACUUACCUGGCAGGGGAGAUAUCAUGAUCACAAAGUUGGUUUUCCCAGGGCGAGGCUUAUCCAUUGCACUCCAGAUGCGUUGACCCCUGCCAUUUCCCCAAAUGUGGGAAACUCGACUGCAUAAUUUGUGAUAGUGGGGGACUGCAUUUGUGUUCUCUCCUA
rnacentral:snRNA from 1 species